CUUCAAGUGCUAAAUAAGGGAGGUGAGUGUAAAGGACUCAGAAAGAAUGCGGUGCUGCAGAGGUCACGGUUGAGAGCCGGGCUCUGGGGUUUAGGUUCCCACCGGUCCAAUCUCUGUGUGACCUUGACCAAGCGACGGGACCCCUCAGAGCCUUCGUUUCUCCCUUGUUAAGCGCUGAUGGUACAACACUAAAAGACACGCUAUUUUUUUGCUGGAGGAAGCUUACCUCCUAAUUGAAUACUCACUGGAUACUGAGACAAGGAAACAUACCAGUUCAAUAGUGUUGGGUCUCUCUCUUCCCUGAGACACAACAAUAUUGAAAUUAGGCCAGUUAAUAAUCCUACAAUGGCCUCUAAGUGUCCACAUGAAAGGAAGAGUCUCAUGUCUGUCAUUUUAAGUCAAACACUAGAAAUGAUGAAUCUUAGUGAGGAAGGCAAGUCAAAAGCAUAGAUA